rnacentral:rRNA from 1 species
GACGAACGCUGGCGGCGUGCCUAAUACAUGCAAGUUGAGCGCUGAAGGUUGGUCCUUGUACCAACUGGAUGAGCAGCGAACGGGUGAGUAACGCGUGGGGAAUCUGCCUUUGAGCGGGGGACAACAUUUGGAAACGAAUGCUAAUACCGCAUAAAAACUUUAAACACAAGUUUUAAGUUUGAAAGAUGCAAUUGCAUCACUCAAAGAUGAUCCCGCGUUGUAUUAGCUAGUUGGUGAGGUAAAGGCUCACCAAGGCGAUGAUACAUAGCCGACCUGAGAGGGUGAUCGGCCACAUUGGGACUGAGACACGGCCCAAACUCCUACGGGAGGCAGCAGUAGGGAAUCUUCGGCAAUGGACGAAAGUCUGACCGAGCAACGCCGCGUGAGUGAAGAAGGUUUUCGGAUCGUAAAACUCUGUUGGUAGAGAAGGACGUUGGUGAGAGUGGAAAGCUCAUCAAGUGACGGUAACUACCCAGAAAGGGACGGCUAACUACGUG